CAGUAGCCGCGGGAAUACGGAGGGAGCUAGCGUUGUUCGGAAUUACUGGGCGUAAAGCGCGCGUAGGCGGUUACUCAAGUCAGAGGUGAAAGCCCGCGGCUCAACCCCGGAACUGCCUUUGAAACUAGGUGACUAGAAUCUUGGAGAGGUCAGUGGAAUUCCGAGUGUAGAGGUGAAAUUCGUAGAUAUUCGGAAGAACACCAGUGGCGAAGGCGACUGACUGGACAAGUAUUGACGCUGAGGUGCGAAAGCGUGGGGAGCAAACAGGAUUAGAUACCCCCGUAGUCCCUGUCUCUUAUAC
rnacentral:rRNA from 1 species